rnacentral:lncRNA from 1 species
CAGGGGUUUGGCCAACCGUUUGGAUUGAAUUCUGAGGAUUGGGCUUGGUUGGGGGGAGUUGGGACGGUUGAAGGUGGUGAGCAGAUCAGUUUUUUAUUCCAGGGACGAGAUCUCGACAUCUCCACUGUUUCUUUUCUCUGGCUUGAGUUCGAAUCUUCAGCUCGCUCAAGACAUUGAUUGGAUUAUUUUUAUGUUGCCGACUCUCGAAUCUAUACUUCAUCUUAAACACCCAAUGUAUCAACCCAUGAACUUUGCCAGAUUUCGGAUAGAG